ACCCAGACUCCUACGGGAGGCAGCAGUGAGGAAUAUUGGUCAAUGGGCGAGAGCCUGAACCAGCCAAGUCGCGUGAGGGAGGACGGCCCUACGGGUUGUAAACCUCUUUUGCCGGGGGACAAACGGCGGCACGCGUGCCGUCCUGAGGGUACCCGGAGAAAAAGCAUCGGCUAACUCCGUGCCAGCAGCCGCGGUAAUACGGAGGAUCCGAGCGUUAUCCGGAUUUAUUGGGUUUAAAGGGAGCGUAGGUGGAUUGUUAAGUCAGUUGUGAAAGUUUGCGGCUCAACCGUAAAAUUGCAGUUGAAACUGGCAGUCUUGAGUACAGUAGAGGUGGGCGGAAUGCGCGGUGUAGCGGUGAAAUGCAUAGAUAUCACGCAGAACUCCGAUUGCGAAGGCAGCAUACCGGCGCGCAACUGACGCUCAUGCACGAAAGCGUGGGUAUCGAACAGGAUUAGAUACCCGAGUAG
rnacentral:rRNA from 1 species